CCGCCACAACGGCUUCCUGGCGUGCGGGGAUCACCAAUGGAGCG
rnacentral:ncRNA from 1 species